rnacentral:rRNA from 1 species
UACGGAGGGUGCGAGCGUUAUUCGGAAUGACUGGGCGUAAAGCGCGCGUAGGUGGCUUUUUAAGUCUGAUGUGAAAGCCCUCGACUCAAUCGAGGAAGUGCAUUGGAUACUGGAUGGCUAGAGUUUAGGAGGGGAGAGCGGAAUUCCCGGUGUAGAGGUGAAAUUCGUAGAUAUCGGGAGGAACAACGGAAGCGAAGGCGGCUCUCUGGACUAACACUGACACUGAGGUGCGAAAGCGUGGGGAGCAAACAGG